CCCCCCGCGCUCCCCGCCGGCUGAGGGCAGCGGCUGCUGCCGGGGCCCCCCGGGGGACCGGGGCACAAAGGGAGAGAGCGGCGAGCGGGACGGAGCGCGGCAGCCAGGCCGGCGGGGAGCGGCGGGCAGAGGGCGGGCGGCGGCCGCGUCCUCUCGCCGGGGCUGCCCUGCUCCGCCCUGGCCGGCGGGACGGGGCAGAGGGAAGAGGAAAGGACCCCCCCCACACGCCCCGCGGGUCAAUAAGAAGUCGGACUUUGGAGAGAACACAGGACAGGCUACACGACCCCCUGAGAUUCCCUCCUGCCCCAAGGGGAUUCAGCAACCCCAAUAACCUCACACUGCUGCAGGUGCAGAAGCUUUGAUUCCUCAUGUAACUAAGGAAGCUCUGAGACUCCUGGGCAACUUCAGUGCCAACAGAUGCCCAACAACACGG